rnacentral:rRNA from 1 species
AGCAGCCGCGGUAAUUCCAGCUCCAAUAGCGUAUAUUAAAGUUGUUGCAGUUAAAAAGCUCGUAGUUGAAUUUCGGGAUCAAUUUAUUGGUCGUGCUAUUGUACGUACUGGUAUUAUUGAUUCCUACCUUCUGACGAACCAUGAUGUCAUUAAUUUGGUGUCAUGGGGAAUCAGGACUGUUACUUUGAAAAAAUUAGAGUGUUUAAAGCAGGCUCACGCUUGAAUACAUUAGCAUGGAAUAACGAAAUAGGACGUUUGAUUCUAUUUUGUUGGUUUCUAGGAUCGACGUAAUGAUUAAUAGGGAUAGUUGGGGGCAUUAGUAUUCAAUUGUCAGAGGUGAAAUUCUUGGAUUUAUUGAAGACUAACUACUGCGAAAGCAUUUUGCCAAGGAUGUUUUCAUUAAUCAAGAACGAAAGUUAGGGGAUCGAAGACGAUCAGAUACCGUCGUAGUCUUAACCAUAAACUAUGCCGACUAGGGAUCGGAUGAUGUUAAUUUUUUAAUGACUCA